UCUGUUUUUCUCUUACAGCCUUAAGAGGUGUCAGUGGAGCAAAAUCAGCUCCUCUUUUACCAAAAUCCAACAUCAAACCUGCAGUCCGGAGCUCUUCCCCAUCUACAGCCAGUGUUUCAGAGGAACCAGAUGAUCAAUCCAGCAAAGGUGUCAACGGGCUACUCCAGCAUGAACCAGUCAUGGUAAGGCAUCUGUCCUAGAAGAAUUCUGUGCUCUGGAAUCUGCUGCAGACAAGCCCACAUCAGAUCACAGCAUUCUGUGAAAAACAAAAGGAGAGGUCUCAUCAUCUGCUGUAAGACUCAGUGCAGAAUCAUCAGCGGAGUCAUCUUGUGA
rnacentral:lncRNA from 1 species